CUCUAGUCUGUAAAAGUGUAACGAUUAGAAAAUUGGGAGAUUAUUUAUUGUAAAGUUUAUUUAUGCAUAUUGUUAUGAUACAGAUAUCCAUCCCCCAAACUUUGCCCAUUAUGUAUACCUUGUCGAUGAAAGUGCAUCCGUGAAGACCUGUGACUUGACAUCGUCUGACAUCCGGAACCUUGAAUAUGAGUCUGUAGGUCAGCCUGAAGGGAUAAUUCCACAUGGACCUUGUAAAUUCACUGUCCAUGACCGAGAAAAUCGCUUCCACGUCUCCACUUGGUAGACGCUCCGGAGAUUUCUCCAAGUUCCAGCGUACGAUUCUGGCGAAUCCAUGUCCCGGACCGAACGUCCAAGCCCCGAAUUGAGCUACGAUUAUACAUAAGUUUAUCGUUCGUAUUAUCCUUGAAAUUAUUUUCAUCAGACGAAUUAGAAAAGGUAAAGGAUGAAACGAAAAAGAACCAAUUCGGAGUGAUUAGCCGACGUCCUUUCGACUCUUCAGAUUAAAAAAAUUCGACUCGAAGAUCUACACCGCGAGAAGGAAUUGGGCGAAAAAACGAAAUCUCGAUGAAUUCUUCUUAUUCUUAGGGGUGGACGAAAUUAUACGC